AUUGAACGCUGGCGGCAUGCCUUACACAUGCAAGUCGAACGGCAGCGGACCUUCGGGUGCCGGCGAGUGGCGAACGGGUGAGUAAUAUAUCGGAACGUACCUUUCAGUGGGGGAUAACGUAGCGAAAGUUACGCUAAUACCGCAUAUUCUGUGAGCAGGAAAGCAGGGGAUCGCAAGACCUUGCGCUGAUUGAGCGGCCGAUAUCAGAUUAGCUAGUUGGUGAGGUAAAGGCUCACCAAGGCGACGAUCUGUAGCGGGUCUGAGAGGAUGAUCCGCCACACUGGAACUGAGACACGGUCCAGACUCCUACGGGAGGCAGCAGUGGGGAAUUUUGGACAAUGGGCGCAAGCCUGAUCCAGCCAUGCUGCGUGAGUGAAGAAGGCCUCGGUUGU
rnacentral:rRNA from 1 species